GAUAGCGAGGGAAAUUUAGUACCGAAGUUCUUGAUUCCACACUGCCAAGAAAAGCCUCUAGCGAGGAAUAAGGUGCCCGUACCGCAAACCGACACAGGUAGGCGAGGAGAGAAUCCUAAGGUGAGCGAGAGAACUCUCGUUAAGGAACUCGGCAAAAUGACCCCGUAACUUCGGGAGAAGGGGUGCUCAUUAGGGUGUUAAAGCCUUGAUGAGCCGCAGUGAAUAGGCCCAGGCGACUGUUUAGCAAAAACACAGGUCUCUGCGAAGCCGCAAGGCGAAGUAUAGGGGCUGACGCCUGCCCGGUGCUGGAAGGUUAAGAGGAGAGGUUAGCUCACGCGAAGCUUUGAAUCGAAGCCCCAGUAAACGGCGGCCGUAACUAUAACGGUCCUAAGGUAGCGAAAUUCCUUGUCGGGUAAGUUCCGACCCGCACGAAAGGCGUAACGAUCUGGGCACUGUCUCAACGAGAGACUCGGUGAAAUUAUAGUACCUGUGAAGAUGCAGGUUACCCGCGACAGGACGGAAAGACCCCGUGGAGCUUUACUGUAGCCUGAUAUUGAAUUUUGGUACAGCUUGUACAGGAUAGGUAGGAGCCUUAGAAGCCGGAGCGCUAGCUUCGGUGGAGGCGUCGGUGGGAUACUACCCUGGCUGUAUUGAAAUUCUAACCCACAUCCCUUAUCGGGAUGGGAGACAGUGUCAGGUGGGCAGUUUGACUGGGGCGGUCGCCUCCUAAAGAGUAACGGAGGCGCCCAAAGGUUCCCUCAGAAUGGUUGGAAAUCAUUCGUAGAGUGUAAAGGCACAAGGGAGCUUGACUGCGAGACCUACAAGUCGAGCAGGGACGAAAGUCGGGCUUAGUGAUCCGGUGGUUCCGCAUGGAAGGGCCAUCGCUCAACGGAUAAAAGCUACCCCGGGGAUAACAGGCUUAUCUCCCCCAAGAGUCCACAUCGACGGGGAGGUUUGGCACCUCGAUGUCGGCUCAUCGCAUCCUGGGGCUGUAGUCGGUCCCAAGGGUUGGGCUGUUCGCCCAUUAAAGCGGUACGCGAGCUGGGUUCAGAACGUCGUGAGACAGUUCGGUCCCUAUCCGUCGUGGGCGCAGGAAAUUUGAGAGGAGCUGUCCUUAGUACGAGAGGACCGGGAUGGACGCACCGCUGGUGUACCAGUUGUCUUGCCAAAGGCAUCGCUGGGUAGCUAUGUGCGGAAGGGAUAAGUGCUGAAAGCAUCUAAGCAUGAAGCCCCCCUCGAGAUGAGAUUUCCCAUAGCGCAAGCUAGUAAGAUCCCUGAAAGAUGAUCAGGUUGAUAGGUUAGAGGUGGAAGUGUGGCGACACAUGUAGCUGACUAAUACUAAUCGAUCGAGGACUUAACCAA
rnacentral:rRNA from 1 species